GGAGAGUUGGGCGAGUGGUAAGCCAACACACUGCUAACGUGAUGUCCCCGCGCAAGCGGGGCGAGGGUUCGAUUCCCUCACUCUCCG
rnacentral:tRNA from 1 species